rnacentral:rRNA from 1 species
UACGGGAGGCAGCAGUGGGGAAUAUUGCACAAUGGGCGCAAGCCUGAUGCAGCCAUGCCGCGUGUAUGAAGAAGGCCUUCGGGUUGUAAAGUACUUUCAGCGGGGAGGAAGGCGAUGCGGUUAAUAACCGCGUCGAUUGACGUUACCCGCAGAAGAAGCACCGGCUAACUCCGUGCCAGCAGCCGCGGUAAUACGGAGGGUGCAAGCGUUAAUCGGAAUUACUGGGCGUAAAGCGCACGCAGGCGGUCUGUUAAGUCAGAUGUGAAAUCCCCGGGCUUAACCUGGGAACUGCAUUUUGAAACUGGCAGGCUUGAGUCUUGUAGAGGGGGUAGAAUUCCAGGUGUAGCGGUGAAAUGCGUAGAGAUCUGGAGGAAUACCGGUGGCGAAGGCGGCCCCUGGGACAAGACUGACGCUCAGGUGCGAAAGCGUGGGGAGCAAACAGGAUUAGGAUACC